rnacentral:rRNA from 1 species
GACGAACGCUGGCGGCGUGCUUAACACAUGCAAGUCGAGCGGUAAGGCCCCUUCGGGGGUACACGAGCGGCGAACGGGUGAGUAACACGUGGGCAAUCUGCCCAUCACAUCGGGAUAACUCCGGGAAACCGAAGCUAAUACCGAAUACGACCACCUCCGGCAUCGGAUGGUGGUGGAAAGUUCCGGCGGGGAUGGAUGAGCUCGCGGCCUAUCAGCUUGUUGGUGGGGUAACGGCCCAACAAGGCUUCGACGGGUAGCCGGCCUGGGAGGGUGACCGGCCACACUGGGACUGAGGCACGGCCCAGACUCCUACGGGAGGCAGCAGUGGGGAAUAUUGGACAAUGGGCGAAAGCCUGAUCCAGAAACGCCGCGUGAGGGAUGACGGCCUUCGGGUUGUAAACCUCUUUCAGCAGGGACGAAGCGCAAGUGACGGUACCUGCAGAAGAAGCACCGGCCAACUACGUG